rnacentral:rRNA from 1 species
AGUGAACGCUGGCGGUAGGCCUAACACAUGCAAGUCGAACGGCAGCACAGUAAGAGCUUGCUCUUACGGGUGGCGAGUGGCGGACGGGUGAGGAAUACAUCGGAAUCUACUUUUUCGUGGGGGAUAACGUAGGGAAACUUACGCUAAUACCGCAUACGACCUACGGGUGAAAGCAGGGGAUCUUCGGACCUUGGGCGAUUGAAUGAGCCGAUGUCGGAUUAGCUAGUUGGAUGGGUAAAGGCCCACCAAGGCGACGAUCCGUAGCUGGUCUGAGAGGAUGAUCAGCCACACUGGAACUGAGACACGGUCCAGACUCCUACGGGAGGCAGCAGUGGGGAAUAUUGGACAAUGGGCGCAAGCCUGAUCCAGCCAUACCGCGUGGGUGAAGAAGGCCUUCGGGUUGUAAAGCCCUUUUGUUGGGAAAGAAAAGCAGCAGGUUAAUACCCCGCUGUUCUGACGGUACCCAAAGAAUAAGCACCGGCUAACUUCGUG